GGUGUUGUGGUGUAGUUAGUUAUCACGCUAGUCUAACACAUUAAAGGUCUCCGGUUCGAGUCCGGGCAACACUA
rnacentral:tRNA from 1 species